CUCUGCAAAGCCCUACAAACUGUUGUACUGGCAAAAUGAGGGAAUGAUGGAGGAAUGGAAAUGAGUAACCUGAGAUGACGGCAAGGACUACAUUGGGAGUGAAAUUCUGCUACAGAAAUGGGUAAUGUAAAGGUUUUUCAGUGCUGGAGUGAGAAUGAGUAGAAAGGAACAGAGUGCGAAGAGAAGAAUAAGAUAAAAAUGGAAAGCAGAAAUCCUGAGCUGGCCCCACUGAACAACGUGUUCAAACAGCUCUCACACCAACCUCAACUGAGAGAGUGGAUUUUAAAUAAAUAAAUAAAUAAAUAAAACAUUCUUUUUUAUGCUUUACUAUUUGCCACACUUGAGCGCACCUCUAAAAAAAGAUAAGUAAAAUAUUAAAAAGAUGUUUUAAAAGAAUAUAUAAAACCAGUGGAAGAAAGACAGGUAACCUUUGAUAUAAGGAACUUGUGAGAAGACACAUGGGAAUGUAAGAAAAAGUUGAACACAGAUGCUACAGUGGUAAAAAGAUGGAGUAGGAAGCUCAGUAAGCAACUGGGAGAGAACAGAGCCACAAAAUACACCAGCAAGAAUUAGCUUACUGGUUCUGAUGCCAAGGUGAAGAGGACAAAACCAAAAGAAAGACGUCUAAACAAUGUAAGAAGACAGUUUUUAUGUAAUAGAUAUUUGGCUGUAUAUUCUUCGAUCAAACAUGUUUGAUUAAAGUUAAUUUUACUAGA